GCAAAAGGCAGCAUACAUCAUUGCAUACGGGCGAAUACUGUGUCCAGGUUGGCUAAGUGGGCUCGACCUGGGGUGCACAUCUGACAAAAAGGGCCAUGCAUGCAGGGCCGUACUUUUCCUUUCACCGUGCGGGACCGACUCUGAAUUGACUAAAGUGUCUGGACAACGAAGUCUAGCUUGCGUGUGCGGCAUCGUCGUCCUCCGUCCGCACUAAUUAUUUGCGUUGGGGCCGCUCGAGGUCCGUCUGGAUGUAGUCAUGGCGAUUCCGGGAGCAACGACGCCGGCGUUGGGCGCAGGAUCAGCCGGAGCGGCACACCCUCCGGUGGUGCGCGAGGUUGCAGAAGCGUUGCAAAAGUACCCGUGCCCCUGCAGUAUAUAUCCUGGUUAAAUUUCAUUGACAAUAAGCCUUGAUUUGCUAGUAAUAAGAACCAGCGCACUUGCAUGAGUAAGUUCUUUUGGUCAAUGUUAUUCUGGUCGCUGAUUCUCUGUC